UCAAUGCAUUUCUGAAAUGGUAAAGGUACAGACAGGAUGCAAAAUGGGAAGAUUUUUCAAAAAAUCCUGAGCAGAUGAAAUACCAUAGGCUGAAUUGGAAGUCUGAAUACCUGAAGUGUUUUCAAAAUGGAACAGCUGAAGAGCUGCUGAAGGGUUGUGGUGGAUUUCCAGCUACUUUACUCUGAAACCAUAGCAGAGAGCACAGCCACAAGAGACUCUCCGUUAAGUUGCCAUCUUUCAAGAUUUCAGCCAAUUCAUGUUAUGUUUUUUUUUUAAGAGCAGUGAAAUCAAAAGGAGGUAGAUACUCACAAGAAAUUUUAUAGAGACGUGAUGAUCUCAGGUCUGCUUAUCAAGCUGCACUGUAAACUGGAAAUGGGGAAGGGCGGCUAUCACAAGGUGGGGGAAGAGAAAGGAGAUUUACUUACAACAGUCACACAAUAUCACAGUGAAGAUUUCAACUUUUGGUACUCCAUUCAUGAUUUUCUUUUUUUUCUGGUCAGAUAUCUUUGGCAACUUGCUCAGUCUUUUUUUCAGCAUAAGAUACACCUGAAUAAACAAAAAUUGGACAGAAGCAUAAAGGAUCUUGGAAGUGUUCUGUAUUUUGGCUAGGCUUUGGAAAUAGAUAUAAAGAUAUAACAGAUAUAAAGAACUACAGAAUUGACAUGACAGAACACCUGACAUAAGGAAUUUUAUACACUUGGGGAAGAGCAUCUAAAUAAUGGCCCUUCUUCCUAACCUGAUCUUCUAGGAUAGGCCAGGGAGGCUUUCACCAUAGAAGUGAGUGUUGGGUCCAUUCAAGCAACUGCUGAGUUAAAAUUAACCACCUGUUCAAGUACAAAAGGUGAGAGAGCUGUAACCUUUUAAAUUGGUUUGAGAAAAAGCAAACAACCCAGAAAUUGGGAAGUUUUUUGUCUUUGACUUUUUUAAUUGUAGAUCAUGUCAACUUUUUGAAUUUUAGUGAGAUCAGUUUCAUGACCUUUAAGUGAAGCUGGCUUAUAAGCUUUGAGCACCUGAAGUUUGCAUGAGUAUAAUGCUCAUCUUUCUAUUCUAUACGUAAUUUGCAGUAGAGGCUGGAAAAGCCAAACUGAGAAAAUUAAGCUAAAUCAGAAGUCCCAACUUUGAGCACAAGGCCCAGUGUCAGGAGGGUUAUACCAUUGUGAGUUAUGAAAUAAAAGUUAUUUCAUAGAAAAGGAACUGCCCCUAUUGACGUGCACAUUAUGACUCAUACUGUCACCCCUGAUUACAGUACUCAUUAAUUAAAUAUAUUUCUGUAAGCUUAAAGAAUGUUCCAGAAAGAUCCAUAAUUGCACCACCCCUGAAACAAAUGAAAUCAAGGUCUGUGAAAAAAAAAAAUCAGGAAGGUCCAUAUGUCUCCAACAAAAAGCUGAGAUGAGAGGUCAUUAAAACCUAUACCAAAAAAGGCAUAUUAGUGAGUAGUGGCUCACUAAGUCACUUGUAGUGACUUUGAAUUAUUUCCACUUUUAUUGAAAUUUGAAGCUGGAAGACAUUGAAAGACAAAGAGCUUUUGCUGUCUUUUUAUUCCGUCGGUUAUCAGGUUCGUUAUUGCUUUUUGGUCUCAUGACCAGGUGCUGAUAUUUAUCGCAUGUUGGUGCUUUAAUGUUUUUUCCCCAGUUUAUUUCUAAAGUGUGAAGCCGGCUUUCAAAAUCCGGCAGAAGAUAUACUCCUACUGGAAAUCUCAACCUGAAUCCUGAAGGAGAAUAUUUUAUCCUUCUGAAGUCAACCUUUGAUACAACUUUUUUUUUCACAUUCUUUUGUGUACUGAAAGAAUACGAAAGUAUUAGUACAGCUGAUAAAAACAAAAAUUUUGCUUUAGUUGUUGCAAUUUCACAUAUAUUCACAUUAUUUUAAUUAUAGUAUUUCAACUGAAUUCUGCAACCAAAUUAAUGCUGAAGUCAUGGACUUUACUAGCUCCUAUUUACAAUACUGUUUGAGAACCUCCAUUUGCAACUUUCUGUCAAUUCUCUGCAACUCUCUUCAAUUUGGAGCAGACCCAGAUUUAAACCUUGUUCCAAGGACAAUGAGAAUGCUCCAGUUUGGCUGCAUCAGAAAGUGUGGUCAGCAGGUUGAGGGAGGUGAUCCUUCCUCUUUAGUUGGCCUUAGUGAGGCCACAUUACUAGUACUGUGUCCAGUUCUGGGCUCCUCAAUACAAGAAAGACAAGGAGCUACUGGAGAGGGUACAGGGCAGGGCCAGAAUGAUGAUUAGGGAUCUGGAGCAUCUCUCUUAUGAGUAGAAACUAUGAGAGCUGGACCUGCUUAGUCUAGAGAAGAGAAGACUGACAGGGGAUCUCAUCAAUACAUAUAAAUAUCUCAGAGGUGGGUGCCAGGGCAAUGGUGUCAGACUUUUUGGUGGUGCCCACCAACAGGAGAAGGAGCACUGUGGAGCACAAGGAAGAUGACUGGAAAUGGUUUCAGAGAUGGUGCGAACUCUAUGGGAAUCAUUAGGGAGGACACUAAAGAAUACCAGCAGCAUUUAGUAUGCGUAACAGAAAAGAACUUGGUUACUAUAGUACAUAGGAAUUGUUAAUGCAUGUUUUUCUAAUUAUGUACCCCAGUUUUACUUGUAGUUGGACAUGUCCAGAUUUGUUUGCUCCCUUGUUGCUGUACCCUCAUUCUGAUUGGUAGGAUUCAGCUGCAGUGUGGAGUCCUGCACAAUUGGUCCUUGUUCCUGAAGUGUUCCCUCCUGUUUUCCCUGAUUUGUUCAACUUCCUGUCAAUCCCAUGCUCCACCUACCAUUUCAGUGCUUUCCACCCCGAACCCUCUUUAAGCCAGCAUUUUCACUCAAUAAAGUGCGAUAGCUCCAGA